ACGUGUCCCAGUGCAGGAUUCACCGACCUGGCUGAGAUCGUGUCUCGCAUUGAGCCAGCCAAGAGCUACGUGUCCGACAGCUACGCAGACGGAGAGGAAUCGGACUGCCUGACAGAGUACGAGGACGACGGGAUUGAUGCCGUGCAAGAGGAGGAGGGGCAGGAACUGCUGUUUGCCCCGGCCGAGCAGAACCCCGUCUUUGAAACGGACGAGGAGAAGAGCCUUCGACACCGCCGAGGGACCUCCGAAGAGUCUCCUGCUGCCCCUUGAGGGUCGUCCUUCCUGAGCCAAGAGAAACGGAGAGACUGUGACACGGAAAGCUGGCCCUCCCCUUACAGGCGGCCACAUGGGUGCGGGAGCAAGGAGCCCCUCACGGCCCACAGCAAGGAGCCCUUCGCUUCUGUCCAGCACAGCAUCCAGGCCUCAGGGCUCCAGCUGCUGCUGCUGCUGCUCCUGGCGUGUGCCGCAGGGGGCGCUCAGAGUGAACGUGGCGCUACCCGCCCACAGACGCCGCCGUGCCCGCUGGGGUGGGAUUCUGGGACCACCGUGCCCGCAGGGCUGGAGAUGUAACGAAGGGCUCCUUUUGCAGGACGGGCCGGUCGGCACCUCACGUUUCGCGUCAGAAGCGGGGUGGGGGGUGGGGGUGGGGGGAAGGCCCGGAGGGGGCUGGGGACUCGCCCGUGCGCGCAGGAAGCUGCCUUCUGCCAAGGUGCUCCCAGGGCCAGUCUUGUCUGCUCUGGCUGGCGGCAGCUCUCAGGAGGGGGGGGUCCUUCCCAUCACCCAGCCCCUCUUCACGGGGGAUACUCGGCCGCCUGGGACCCCCCCCCCCCCCCCGCAUGCACCCAGGAGAUGCUCCAACCCCCCCACGGGGGGGGGUCUCUUGCCGUCUCCCACCUACUCGCUGCCCUCGGUGUGGGCCGGGCAGGGCCUGGCACCCUGACUCGCCGGGGGUGGGGGUCUGAUCCAUUCCCUGACACAAAGUGAAGUGAAGCACACCAGGAUCUGUUGGUUUUUAGCAAGAUUUUGGGCCUUUCUGUUUGGGUUUUCUUUGCAUGCAGGCAUGCACGCGUUCUUCCCCUGUAAUUAUUCUGGCGAUGCUUUUGUGGGUCGAGGAAGACUGUAGCAAAGAUCUCAUAUCAUGCCGAGCAUAACUAGGCAUAUUUCUGGUAUGAAAUAAACAUCUCAAGCUGAUUGGAAAUGUUGACCAAUGAGGCCGAGAGACUGCAAGGUCCAGUUCGCAUAGUAAAAAAAUGAUGCAGACACACAUACACACACACACACCCGGAGGUCCCCUGAGCAGCUGUUCCCUGGCCCCGGCUGCUCUGACCUGGCAGGGGCUGUCACACGUGUCUUCAGGCUCUUUGACCCCGGCAGGCAGGCAGCCUGGCCCCGCUCCCAGACUUAGGGAUCUCCACAAAAAGGGGCCGGGACCGAGAGAAGACACAGGGGCCGGGGUUUCCCUGGCAGGCCUUUGAAGCUGGCCGUGUUCUGUGUGACCCCACACGGUGGUCCCCCCCUCCCUCUCGAUCGUCCGUGUGUGGUGGUGCAUAUGGGGAAUACCGGGCGGGGGGGGGGAGUCAGUCAAGGCUCCCGUUGCCAGUCCUCCCGAGGGGGAGCCCCAGAGACGUGUGCUGGUCCCCGUGGUGAGGAGGCGCUGGGUAGGAGGAGGCCGUGGGCCCUGUCUCUCCCUUCCCUUCUUCACCCCCUGCUGCAAGUGGGCAGGAAGUUUUCCCAAAGGUUUAGGGUCAAGGGAAGAAAAUACUAGUUUAUUUUUAUUUUAGUCAUCGUAGAGUUGAGGAAUACAGGUUAAUUUUAAGGAAGAACAAUUUCAUACAACAGUGACCAAAUAAAGUCAUCUGUUUUGUGCUUGAAGAGGCUUUCUUUUCCUCAAUUUUAGUGGCUAUUGAAUCGAUAGUAAAAAAAUGGCCUUUUGCUCUUUUUUUUUUAAAAAGGGGGCACGGUAAAAGCCACGAGACCGGGUUUCUUCCGUUUGUCAAGGGGGAACACAACGGCUGAGAAACAAAUGGAAAUACUUCUAUUAGAAUGUGUUUUAUGUUGUUGAAAAGGCACACUCUGUAUUUUGAUGGCGGUAUUUAAGCUCCAGUCUCUUUGCAUUUUAUCUGCAUUUUUCACAGCAAAGCGGUUUUUAACUAUCUGCUUCAAUACCCCGAGUAAAAAUCAGGAGCAACUGUUCCCCCCGGUCCAUAAAUUUGGGAGACUUUAACUUUUUUGUGUCGUUAAAAUCAUUGUAAACAGUGACUGUACAAUUAUUGUAUUACUACAAACUACUAAUUACAACCAAUCCCUUUUACGCAAUAGUUUAACUUCUGUGAACACUUAGAAACACGGUGUUAAUGGAGCGAUAGA